UACGGAGGGUGCGAGCGUUAUCCGGAAUUACUGGGUUUAAAGGGUGCGUAGGCGGCGCAGUAAGUCAGGAGUGAAAGUUUGCGGCUCAACCGUAAAAUUGCUUUUAAUACUGCUGUGCUGGAAUUAGGAUGAGGUCAGCGGAAUGUGGCAUGUAGCGGUGAAAUGCAUAGAUAUGCCAUAGAACACCAAUUGCGAAGGCAGCUGGCUAGACCUGGAUUGACGCUGAGGCACGAAAGCGUGGGGAGCGAACAGG
rnacentral:rRNA from 1 species